CCUACGGGUGGCAGCAGUGGGGAAUAUUGCGCAAUGGGCGAAAGCCUGACGCAGCGACGCCGCGUGAGGGAUGAAGGUCUUCGGAUCGUAAACCUCUGUCAGCAGGGAAGAACGGUCACUGUGCUAAUCAGCAGUGAAUUGACGGUACCUGCAAAGGACGCACCGGCUAACUCCGUGCCAGCAGCCGCGGUAAUACGGAGGGUGCGAGCGUUAAUCGGAAUGACUGGGCGUAAAGCGCUCGUAGGAGGUAUGUCAAGUCAAGGGUGAAAUCCCCGGGCUCAACGUGGGAACUGCCUUUGAUACUGGCAAACUGGAGUGUGUGAGAGGAUAGUGGAAUUCCAGGUGUAGGAGUGAAAUCCGUAGAUAUCUGGAGGAACAACAGUGGCGAAGGCGACGAUCUGGCACAUAACUGACGCUGAGGAGCGAAAGCGUGGGUAGCAAACAGGAUUAGAUACCCUGGUAGUC
rnacentral:rRNA from 1 species